rnacentral:rRNA from 2 species
CCUGAUGACCAUAGCGAGUUGGUACCACUCCUUCCCAUCCCGAACAGGACAGUGAAACGACUCAGCGCCGAUGAUAGUGCGGGUUCCCGUGUGAAAGUAGGUCAUCGUCAGGCUCUUACAGCCCAGAAAACCCCAGUCAGAAUUGACUGGGGUUUUUUGCUUUGCGCAACAGAUAACU